rnacentral:rRNA from 1 species
AGAGUUUGAUCCUGGCUCAGGACGAACGCUGGCGGCGUGCUUAACACAUGCAAGUCGAACGGAAAGGCCCUUCGGGGUACUCGAGUGGCGAACGGGUGAGUAACACGUGGGUGAUCUGCCCUGCACUUUGGGAUAAGCCUGGGAAACUGGGUCUAAUACCGAAUAUGACCAUGCGCCUCCUGGUGUGUGGUGGAAAGCUUUUGCGGUGUGGGAUGGGCCCGCGGCCUAUCAGCUUGUUGGUGGGGUAAUGGCCUACCAAGGCGACGACGGGUAGCCGGCCUGAGAGGGUGACCGGCCACGCUGGGACUGAGAUACGGCCCAGACUCCUACGGGAGGCAGCAGUGGGGAAUAUUGCACAAUGGGCGCAAGCCUGAUGCAGCGACGCCGCGUGAGGGAUGACGGCCUUCGGGUUGUAAACCUCUUUCAGCACAGACGAAGCGCAAGUGACGGUAUGUGCAGAAGAAGGACCGGCCAACUACGUGCCAGCAGCCGCGGUAAUACGUAGGGUCCGAGCGUUGUCCGGAAUUACUGGGCGUAAAGAGCUCGUAGGUGGUUUGUCGCGUUGUUCGUGAAAACUCACAGCUUAACUGUGGGCGUGCGGGCGAUACGGGCAGACUUGAGUACUGCAGGGGAGACUGGAAUUCCUGGUGUAGCGGUGGAAUGCGCAGAUAUCAGGAGGAACACCGGUGGCGAAGGCGGGUCUCUGGGCAGUAACUGACGCUGAGGAGCGAAAGCGUGGGGAGCGAACAGGAUUAGAUACCCUGGUAGUCC